AUAUUUUAAAGUGUAAAACCACCUUCAUAAUAUCUUCAAUAUUAUACUUUCUAAUAAGCUAUUAAAAUA
rnacentral:tRNA from 1 species